ensembl:lncRNA
GUAAGGUUACUUGCUCCCAUGUGUUGAUUAACCCUCUGUAACUAAUGAUGAUUAUCUUUUGGAAUCUCGUUCGUCUGAAAUCCUGUUGAUAAAUCUUUAUUACUGAAGUUACAGUACAUGAUUCACUUUUUUUUUUUUUUUUAAAUGCUAUUUGUAUCUGAAAUGACACUCUGAUUGGUUUUCUCUCCAAAAGGUUGCAUACCUGAAAUACUCCGCAGGUAAGAAUAUGCAUUUCUCAUGACAAAUUUCAUUGAAAUGGUCCCUUUGUAGUUAACUUGCACUACUUGCUACUCUAUUCCAUCUGUAACCUAUGAUGAUUUUUGCAGUCUCGUUCGUCUGAAGUCCUGCUGAUUAAUUAAUAUUACUGAUGUUACAGAUUUGGCAUCUGUAUGUGUGUUAUCUCUGCAUUUGUGUAGGUCUCCCAUCCUAUUUUUUUUUUUUUUUUAACCUAUAGGUGGCACAUCUGAGAUGAGACAUUCACAGGUGAGAAUUCUGUUCCUAAUAUACAAAAUGACAAACCUAUUGCAGCUGGUCCUUUUAUGAUGUUACUUGCACAUGUCUUAUGCCCUGUGUCAAUACCAGAACCUGAAAAGGUGAACCCACUGGUGUUGCCUGGGUAACAAGGGGAUGACUUGUUGGGGUUACCAACAGUCUGAGAAGGACUAGCUUUAGUGUAGACAAGUUUCUUUACAUACGUUCCCUAAUCUUGUUUCUCUUGAUUCCUUGCAGGACUACAGUGGAUUCUUGAAGUCCUUCCCCCUUGAGCAUACUAUAACAGUAUGUAUUUUGUGUUUUCAACUUCAGAGACAUGUGAGCUAUCCUAGUAGGUGUGAUGAUGGAAUUACCGCCCCAGUCUGAUUAAUCUGACUGAAUGGUACCCUCUGACCUCAGUAACUGUUUAAACGAGGCGUUUUAGGAGGACGUGGAUGAGUCUUAACUUUUUAUAAAGAAUAUCUCUUUGGGUUUGAGACUUUAGUUCUUUGCAACUUUAGGGAUCUUAUCCUUUCACAAACAACUUGUAACUCAAAAGAGAAAGGAAAACUUAAUCGCAUCAUAUGACCCCUUUAGUAAAAAUUUACUACUGACAUUACAGCAUUUACAUAUGUGUAGCUCUCCCAUCUAAAUGCCUGGGAAAUAAGGGGAUGACUUGAGUACCAACAGUCUAAUAAGGAGUAGCAUUAGCAUACAUGAAGCAUGUUCAAUUAUUUGUUUUUGUUUCCUUACAGGACUGCAGUGAAUUUUCCCUCAGAGUUCUUUACCCCUUGAGCGUACUGAAGCUGGUAUGUAUUUUGUAUUUUCAAGUUGCGUUACAUGUGAAAUAGUAGGUGUGAUGACUGAGUUACCGCCCCAGUCUGAUUUAUCUGACUGAAUGGUACCCUCUGACCUCAGUGAUUUGUUUUGUUUGAAACUUACACAAUGUUGAUUGAAAAAGUAUGGAUAUGAGUUGAUUGCCCCAGGCUGAAAAGUAAAGACAGAUUGAUAUCCCCUCUGAUCCAUACUUCAUGUCUGUACUUUUUUUUUUUUUUUCUCCUCCCUUGUUCUUUAGGUGUUGCUACUGUCCAUCCAGGUUGUCCCAGUGUCACUUGAUUGCUGGUGUUCUGUUGACUUUUAAAGGUUUGUAUUUUGUAUCAGCUUUUGAAAGUUUAGUUUUACUUUUUAAUGAUGACAUUUAUCGCCCCAGUCUGAUGUGUUAUGACUGAUUGAUGAUUCUGAUAAAUCUAGAAAUAUUUAAAGGUGCUGAUUUAAGAGACUUUUACUGACACUCUUUAUCUCCCCCAGGUCACGUAAACUGCAUCAGAAGUUGAACUGGCUGACACACUGAUCUGUGUCCUUGUACAUCUGCUUAACUGGAGUGUUGGCUGAAUGGUGUUAUUGACUGACGAUAUAAAUGGAAUGUGUUUCCUUUGUAUUCUUUAUUCAAAAGCUGCUUGCAAAAUAAAUGGCUUUACUGAA